UUUUUUUUGAGGUGGAGUAUCAUUCUGUCACCCAGGCUGGAGUGCAGAGCCUCGGAGGUCAAGGCUGCAUUGAGCCUUGAUUGUACCACUACACUCCAGCCUGGGUGACAGAGUGAGACCUUAUCUCAAAAAAAAAAAAAAAAGCUUGUGUAAAAAAAAACUGAAAAGCAGCCUGGCGAGGUGGCUCACGCCUGUAAUCCCAGCACUUUGGGAGGCCAAGGUGGGGAGAUUGCCUGAGGUCAAGAGUUCAAGACCAGCCCGGCCAACACGGGAAAACCCCAUCUCUACUAAAAAUACAAAAAAAUUAGCCAGAUGUGGUGACGUGCGCCUGUAGUCUCAGCUACUCAGAAGGCUGAGGCAGGGAGAACUGCUUGAACCCGGGAAGCGGAGGUUGCAGUGAGCCGAGAUCACGCCACUGCACUCCAGCCUGGGCAACAGAGCAAGACACCGUCUUAUUAAAAAACAAAACAAAAAAAACUGAAAAGCAAGCUGGGUGUGGUAGUGUAUCCCUACAGUCCCAGCUCCUUUGGAGGCUGAGGUAGGGGAAGUGCUUGAGCCCAGGAGUUUUAGGCCAGCAUGGAGAACCUAGCAAGACCCAAUCUCUAAAUUUUUAACUGAAAAACAAACUAAACAUGUCUUAGAGUUUUGAAAAGGAUAGACAUUCUAGUCACAUAGAUGUUUCUUAUUAUAACUCCUCUUUAUAAGGUAAAAUACUUAAAUCAUAAUUCACUAAAGGCAUUCCUGUGGAAAGGUGAAAUGACAAGUUCUAAGUACACUCCUUUCUGAUGGCUUACUUAACACAGAAGUUAGAAAGUUAGUUAGCUUAUCUAUAAAACUUGUCUCUCGUAUGUACCAGAAGCCUCAAGCCAACCUUUGGCAAGUGCUAGACUACAGUCAGUUUGAGACUGCAUUUUCUACAAAAAAUGUCAAGUACCAAACUCUGCCAUGUUGAUGAAAAAGAAACCUAUAUAUGAUACCAAAUAUGCAAGAAGCAGAGUUCAAUUUCACAAUGUUCAGUAGUGAAACUUGAAUAGCUGGUCAACUUACUCAGAAAAGCGUCUCCUGCCACAUAGGGUGGACCACUAGCUAGCAUGCUUAUAAGCAAAAGCCUUAAAUGAGAGGAAUAGGGAAUCAGAGAAGUUAAUCAUAAAGCAGCCUGUGGAACAAGUAUUGUUAGUACAUUAAAAAACUAUAGUGG
rnacentral:lncRNA from 1 species